UUCGGGUUGCUGCGUCCGCGUCGUCUCUCCCAGAUGAGAUCGAAGGAUUCUCCCCACCUCCCCUCUGCUGGCGGAAGGAGCAGAAUGUUCCAUUUUUCCGUGGAAUAACGGGGUCGUGAACUGAAGUCCGGGUGGUGCCCGCGCCUGCCGUCCUCCCUUCUUGCCGUGGCCUCUUCGGCCUCCCUUCGAGGCCUUCCCCAGGUCAUCUUCAGCUUCACUCAUAUCAGGAACCCACAGAUGUAGCCACACCUUGAAGCCAGUCAUCAGAUGAAAUUACUCCAUCUGCAAAAUUUUGGCUUGCCCUGAGAAACUCACAGCAAAAGAAUGCAAAUGAGGGACUUUCCUGGCGGUGCAGUGGUUAAGAAUCCACCUGCCAAUGCACAGGACACGAGUUCGAGCCCUGGCCUGGGAAGAUCACACCGUGCGCCACAACUACUGAGCCUGCACUCUAGAGCCCAUGAGCCACAGCUACUGAGGCUGCAUGCUGCAACUACUGAAGCCCACGUGCCUAGAGCCCAUGCUCCGCAACAGGAGAAGCCACUGCAAUGAAGAGCCCGCAAACCUCAACGCAGAGUAGCCCCCUCUCGCUGCAAGUAGA